CUCCGGACAAUGGCGGCAGUCAAAGUACUGAAGAUUGGUAAGAAACUCUAUGAGGGUAAAACAAAAGAAGUCUAUGAAUUGUUGGAUAGUCCAGGAAGAGUCCUCCUGCAGUCCAAGGACCAGAUUACAGCAGGAAACGCAGCCAGAAAGAAUCACCUUGAAGGAAAAGCUGCAAUCUCAAAUAAAAUUACCAGCUGUAUUUUUCAGUUGUUACAGGAAGCAGGUAUCAAAACUGCUUUCACCAGAAAAUGUGGGGAGACAGCUUUCAUUGCACCUAAGUGUGAAAUGAUUCCAAUUGAAUGGGUUUGUAGAAGAAUGGCAACUGGUUCUUUUCUCAGAAGAAAUCCUGGUGUUAAGGAAGGAUAGAAGUUCUACCCACCUAAAGUGGAGAUGUUUUUUAAGGAUGAUGCCAAUAAUGGUCCACAGUGGUCUGAGGAACAGCUAAUUGCUGCCAAUUUUUGCUUUGCUGUACUUGUUAUAGGACAAACUGAAGUGGAUAUCAUGAGUCAUGCUACACAGGCUAUUUUUGAAAUACUGGAGAAAUCCUGGUUGCCCCAGAACUGUACACUAGUUGAUAUGAAGAUUGAAUUUGGUGUUGAUGUAACCACCAGAGAAAUCAUUCUUGCUGAUGUUAUUGAUAAGGAUUCCUGGAGACUCUGGCCAUCAGGAGAUCGAAGCCAGCAAAAAGACAAACAGUCAUAUCGUGAUCUCAAGGAAGUAACUCCUGAAGGGCUACAGAUGGUAAAGAAAAAUUUUGAGUGGGUUACAGAAAGAGUAGAGUUGCUUCUGAAACCAGAAAAUCAGUGCAGGGUUACAGUAUUGAUGGGCUCAACCUCUGAUCUUUGUCACUGUGAAAAAAUAAAGAAGGCUUGUGGAACUUUUGGCAUUCCAUGUGAACUUAGGGUCACCUCUGCCCAUAAAGGACCAGAUGAAACUCUGAGGAUUAAAGCUGAGUAUGAAGGGGAUGGCAUUCCUACUGUAUCUGUGGCAGUGGCAGGCAGAAGCAAUGGUUUAGGGCCGGUGUUGUCUGGUAACACUGCAUAUCCAGUUAUCAGCUGUCCUCCUCUCGCUCCAGACUGGGGAGCUCAGGAUGCGUGGUCUUCUCUUCGAUUACCCAGUGGUCUUGGCUGUUCGACCAUCCUUUCUCCAGAAGGAUCAGCUCAGUUUGCUGCUCAGAUAUUUGGAUUAAAUAACCAUUUGAUCUGGGCCCGACUGCGAGCAAGUGUAUUAAAUACAUGGAUUUCCUUGAAGCAGGCUGACAAGAAAAUCAGAGAGGCCAAUUUAUAAGAAAGAAUAUCACUGCAUUUUUUUAGGAAGAAAACUAAUUUUCUAGUUUAGCUGCCCCCCACCCCAAAUCAAGAUGAAAAGAUUUUAAAUCAUUGAGAGAAAAAUAAAGUUUGUAAAUG